CCAAUCUCCCUAAGAC
rnacentral:tRNA from 3 species